AGUAGGAUUGCUGGGUCAAAUGGUGGUUCCACUCCAAGUUUUCCAAGAAAUCUCCAAUCUGCUUUCCAGAUUGGCUCCACCAAUUUGCAGUUCCAUCAGCAAU
rnacentral:pre_miRNA from 1 species